rnacentral:rRNA from 1 species
AACGAACGCUGGCGGCGUGCUUAACACAUGCAAGUCGAACGCGAAAGGGACUUCGGUCCUGAGUAAAGUGGCGCACGGGUGAGUAACACGUGGAUAAUCUACCCAGUGUUCCGGGAUAACAUCUCGAAAGGGGUGCUAAUACCGGAUAAGCCCACGGGAACUUCGGUUCUUGCGGGAAAAGGUGGGGACCUUUUAGGCCUACUGUCACUGGAUGCGUCCGCGGCCCAUUAGCUAGUUGGUAGGGUAAUGGCCUACUAAGGCUACGAUGGGUAGCUGGUCUGAGAGGACGAUCAGCCACACUGGAACUGAGACACGGUCCAGACUCCUACGGGAGGCAGCAGUGGGGAAUUUUGCGCAAUGGGCGAAAGCCUGACGCAGCAACGCCGCGUGAGUGAUGAAGGCCUUCGGGUCGUAAAGCUCUGUCAGAGGGGAAGAACCUCCUGGGGGAUAAUAACCCUCAGGCCUGACGGUACCCUCAAAGGAAGCACCGGCUAACUCCGUGCCAGCAGCCGCCGUAA